AUGACUUUCAUCACCAUAUUGAUCUGGACGCUGACAGUAUUAUGUCGAGAAUCUGUUGGUCAGGUGACAGUGACUCAAACUCCCUCAAAUCUGCUCUCUGAACCUGGACAAUCAGUCACGAUAACCUGUAAAACUAGCAGAGAUCCAAACUGCUGUUAUGGUGAUGGAAAACCCCUUCUUAACUGGUACUUCCAGAAACCUGGAGAAGCUCCUAAACUCCUGAUUUAUUACACAAACCGCCGUCAGUCAGGAACUCCAUCUAGAUUCAGUGGCAGCAGUGGAUCUAACAGUGAUUUCACUCUGAGCAUCAGUGGAGUCCAGACUGAAGAUGCUGGACAUUAUUACUGUCAGAGUUAUCAUGUCAUCAACUAUAAUGAUGUGUUCACACAGUGA